rnacentral:rRNA from 1 species
GAUGAACGCUAGCUACAGGCUUAACACAUGCAAGUCGAGGGGUAACGAGAGGAAAGCUUGCUUUCCUUGUCGACGACCGGCGCACGGGUGAGUAACGCGUAUCCAACCUGCCCCCAACUAAGGAAUAACCUUGCGAAAGUAAGACUAAUACCUUAUAAUUUCCUCAGAUGUCAUCUGACGAGGAAUAAAGAUUUAUCGGUUGUGGAUGGGGAUGCGUCUGAUUAGCUUGUUGGCGGGGUAACGGCCCACCAAGGAAACGAUCAGUAGGGGUUCUGAGAGGAAGGUCCCCCACAUUGGAACUGAGACACGGUCCAAACUCCUACGGGAGGCAGCAGUGUGGAAUAUUGGUCAAUGGGCGAAAGCCUGAACCAGCCAAGUAGCGUGCAGGAUGACGGCCCUAUGGGUUGUGAACUGCUUUUAUACAGGAAUAAAGUUAGCCACGUGUGGUUAUUUGUAGGUACUGUAUGAAUAAGGACCGGCUAAUUCCGUGCCAGCCGCCGCAGUAA